rnacentral:lncRNA from 1 species
GAUGGUCCUGUCCUGUUAUACGAUGACAGCACUGGAGCCAUUGCUCAAGCUAAGAGCUGAAGUCCCAUUAGUGCACUAAUAAUAUUUUGUGCCGCUACCACCUUAUCCGAGAGAUCGUGGAUCAAGAUGACGUUGACCUUCUGAAGAUCGACAAAAAGGAGAAUCUAACUGAUCUAUUUACUAAAGUUCUCAGAAUCAUCGAUGAUCACAAAUUGAAGAUGGAUAUGCAAUACUGUGCCGAUUGGCUUUAGUCCAAGUGGAAGUGGUUAAAAAAUAUAUCUCAAAAUCAAUUGUCAGCCUAUUGACAAUUAUGC